rnacentral:rRNA from 1 species
CCUACGGGCGGCUGCAGUGGGGAAUAUUGGACAAUGGGGGCAACCCUGAUCCAGCCAUGCCGCGUGUGUGAAGAAGGCCCUCGGGUUGUAAAGCACUUUCAGUGAGGAAGAACGCCUGGUGGUUAAUACCCAUCAGGAAAGACAUCACUCACAGAAGAAGCACCGGCUAACUCCGUGUCAGCAGCCGCGGUAAUACGGAGGGUGCGAGCGUUAAUCGGAAUCACUGGGCGUAAAGCGCGCGUAGGUGGCUUGAUAAGCCGGUUGUGAAAGCCCCGGGCUCAACCUGGGAACGGCAUCCGGAACUGUCAAGCUAGAGUGCAGGAGAGGAAGGUAGAAUUCCCGGUGUAGUGGUGAAAUGCGUAGAGAUCGGGAGGAAUACCAGUGGCGAAGGCGGCCUUCUGGACUGACACUGACACUGAGGUGCGAAAGCGUGGGUAGCAAACAGGAUUAGAUACCCUUGUAGUC